GAGGCUUUGGUUAUGCUAUUUUGCUUUCUUUUGUUUGUGGCUGCACAACUUAAAUCUGACCUAUUACAAUUUUUCUGUUUGUUAUUCUGCAGAUAUUGGGAACAGUGAGCUGUCAAAAUUUUCAAGUAUUUCAGAUUUAGGAGAAACAAAGAAAAUGGUGGGACAGUGUGAUUACAAUCAGAAUUCUGCUUCAGCAACAACUCAUAAGUCAAGAAGAUCGAAAAGAUGGCGAACAGUGUGUCAACAACAAACGGCUGAAGCUUCGCAUAGUUUCUGUGGAAAUGACGAACAAAAUUCUGCUGUAAUUGCGAACAAGGAUCUGUUAGUUGGUACAGCAUCGCAUAUUGAUAAUUCAAUUAUGGGAGAUAUGCCAUCCAAUACUGUAUCAAGAAGAACCAAGAGAAUGUUGAGACAAUGUGAUCGCGCUGAAAAUUAUGCUUCAACCAAUGUGUUCCUUACUAGCGAUGAAUCUCACCGAGUCACAUCACGGAACUCAAAGAGGUGGAAAGCUGGUAUUAUACCAUAUAUGAAGCGUCAGUUCACUGUUACACUGUUCACAAGAGGGGGUAGAAAAGUUGCUUCUGUCCUUACUGUUCGAGUGUGAUAUCGAGAUGGUGGAAAAGUCGUUUUCACCGCUGGUCUUCUUGCAUGAUCUGGAUAGAGGAAAAGCUUGGUAUUACAGAAUCGUCAGAUUUGCAAGUCGGCGACACCAAAAAAAGAAAAGCUUGGUAAGGUAUUUAUAGACGGGAAAUGAAGGAAGUGAAGAAGAACAGAGACGGGGGAGAUCGUGGUGAUCGUAAAGUGGUCAGAAGGUUUUCUUGAUUCUAUGCGAAAGGGUGUAUGCGUGAUUUGGGUGCCACUGUUCUUCUGCGUAUUGUUGACAAUCUGUUUAACAUUGUAUUCUUCUCUAGUUAUGGCACUUGAUAUGCGGUCCAGAAGAGCAAAGAGAUUAUUAGAAGAGCAUGAUGGUGAGAAUUGUGAUGGUGUAGAAGAAGUGCAAGCAAUGGACAAUUGUCAGACUUUGUCCGCCGAUAGCUGAAACUGGAAAUAUUGGUUUUGCUAUGCAAGCAAUGCAUCAGAGUAAAUCAAUGAAAUUAAGAAAUGUGGCUCAGUCUCUGGUGGCAGAGAAGAAUUAUACUUCUGAACAUUUGAGGAAACGAUUUUGAAGUACUCAGCGAAAUGGUGCUCUGAUGCUCACUGAAAAUUCAGCAAAUAAUACCAAAUUCGGAUGUUGAUAAUACAAGUUAAGAGACAAGUUCUACAAGCAAUUUCAUUUUUUUAGAUUUUAGACUAUGUACAUAAGCUUUGUUAAUUCAUUUUGGCAUUAAUAUCACCUCAGAUUUUCUACAUCAAUUUUAGUAGGAA